AGUGCAAAGAGCGCAGCCGUGUCGGCCGGCUUGAGAGUUUUGUGCUUUCUAGAUGAAGCGCGUCUUCGCAUACGUGCGGUCGCGUGAUCUCACAAGAUGCUUGGCAUGUGAGUAUUCUUAACAGACUCAUUCUACAGUUCGGGAAGUUGAGAGAGGUGCAGUAAUUUGGCCAAAGUCACGCGGCUAAUAACUACCCAGGACUGGAGCUCAGCGUGGAUGCCAUCGCUUCCUCCACCCGACCGAGCUGCCUUCCCCGCGCUUUCGGGGGAUGCUGGCCGCCCACUCCCACACAGCUGUCUGGCAAGAACCUCCUGACAGCCUGGAAUACCCUCGUCGUCGCUACCGACGGCUACCACCUUCACCUGUACAAGCCCUUCCCUGUCAAAGUAAAGGUUGCAGAAAACCUUCCCUGAUUCCAUGGUAGGCACUCAGUAAAUAAACAGGCAACCUCAAGUUAUUUCUUCCACUCAUUGAUUCAACGCGUGCACGGGACUAUUCUUUGAGAAGCGUACCCCACCCUCUGCUAGGCACUGUGCCAAAAGCUUUUCAUGCAUUAUCUCUUGUAAUCCUCCCUACAGCCCUGUGGGGAGAUGCUUUUAUUGUCCACAUUUUAAAGAUAAGGAGACAGGCCGGGCGCCAUGUCUCACGCCUGUAAUCCCAACAGUUUGGGAAGCCGAGGCGGGUGGAUCACCUGAGGUCAGGAGUUCGAGACCAGCCUGGCCGACAUGGUGAAACCCCGUCUCUAGUAAAAAUACAAAAAUAAGGCCGGGCACGGUGGCUCACUCCCGUAAUCCCAGCACUUUGGAAGGCCAAAGUGGGCAGCUCACCUGAGGUCUGGAGUUCGAGACUAGCCUGACCAAAAUGGAGAACCCCCGUCUCUACUAAAAAUACAAAAUUAGCCGGGCGUGGUGGGACAUGCCUGUAAUCCCAGCUACGUGGGAGGCUGAGGCAGGAGAAUCGCUUGAACCCAGGAGGCGGAGGUUGCGGUGAGCAGAGAUCGUGCCAUUGCACUCCAGCCUGGGCAACAAGAGCGAAAUUCCGUCUCAAAACAAACAACAACAACAACAAAAGCCAGGUGUGGUGGCGCGGGCCUGUAAUCCCAGCUACUCAGAAUCGCUGGAACCCGGAAGGCGGAGGUUGCAGUGAGCCAAGAUCGCGCCGCUGCACUCCAGCCUGAGCGACAGUGAGACUCCAUCUCAAAAACAAACAAACAAACGAACAAACAAAAUCACUAAAGAUAAGGAGACAGAUAUGGAGAGAGUCACACAACUAGAGGGCGCCUAACCAGUGGCAAGAACUCUUCUUUGGCAGAGUUAUGAGAGCUUCAGCUGACGUCAAAACACCUGGCUCUGGGCUGGAAUGAAUUACCCAAGAAUUUGGUUGGCUUUAGCUGAAGUGCAGAGGAAGCUGGCAAGGUCCUGGCUAACUCCUUCCUCAAAUAUGUACUGAGUACCUUCAGUAUGGCAUUGUUGCUGGCACUGAAAACACAAAAAUGAAUGUCACAAAAUAUAUGUCCUCAGGGGUUUUUAAUCCAUUAGGAACAGACAUGUUUAAACAAAUGAUGACAAUAUAGUGAUAUAAAUGUUUUAAUGGAGCUUUAUCUAGCGGAGAUUGCAGUAGGAUGCCUAGAAGAUUGAGUUAACUUUACCUGUUGGAGUGGAGUUGGAAGCAGGUGGGGAGAGGUUCAUAGGAAAUCCAGGAAGGCUUCCCAGUGGAGAUGAUGCUUGAACUUUCUUGAAGAAUGGUAGGAGUUCUUUACAUAAAGGGACUGGAGGGAAAAAGGGGGUAGAUCCAGAUGCAGGGGAACUGUGAAUUCAAAGGCUUGCUAGGGGGCCUCCAGAGAGUCAUGUAUGGCUUGAGCUACAGGAUUCAAAUAGAAGAUAUUCAGGGGAUAACAACAAAAAAAGAAGGAAAGGAGUUUGUAUACCUUGCAGAGGUCCUCUUAUUGCAGAGGUCUACCCUUAGUGGCAUUGGGAUUAUGUAAAUGAAUGGACACUAAAUGAAUGGCACAGAUACAAAUGUAAGAAAUAUGGCAGAGUGUGAAUUUUAGUUGCGUGGCUUCUGUGUGCUCGCUGAGUUAGAUAGAAUGUGACACUAACAGAGUCAGAGGCCAGAGUCAGCCUCCAAAGGCUUGCCUCUUUUUCAAGUCCUCAGUUAUUCUUUCUAAUCUAGUAGCUGUCUUGCAGGUAGGGCUUGUCAGUUCACAGACCUGGGUGCCAUCAUGGCUCAAGGAUGAUAGCUGGUCAGUGCAGAGCCCCCAAACCAGAAAAACAUCACAAAAUUUUGUUUUUUAGAAAUACAGCCUCACAAGAAGUUUCAAAAAUAGUACAUAGAGUCCUGCACACCUUCACCCAGUUUCCCCCAAUAGUAACAUCAAACAUAAAGACAGUAUAAUAGUAAAUCAGGAAAUUGAUAUAGGUAUUAUGCAAUAAGGUUUUUUUGGUUUUUGUUUUGAGGUGGAGUCUCACGGUUGUCGUCCAGACUGGAGUGCAGUGGUAUGAUCUCAGCUCACUACAACCUCCGUCUCCUGGGUUCAAGCAAUUCUCCUGCCUCACCCUUCCAUGUAGCUGGGAUUACAGGCACCCAGCACCACACCCGGCUAAUUUUUUUCCUAUUUUUAGUAGAGAUAGGGUUUUGCCAUGUUGGCCAAGCUGGUCUCAAACUGCUGAUCUCAGGUGAUGCACCUGCUUCGGCAUCCCAAAGCGCUGGGAUUACAGGCAUGAGACACUGCUCCUGGCCAUAAUGCAAUAAGGUUUUUUGAAAGCAUCAACAAGCUUCUCAAAAACUGAAUCAAGGUUCUCCAGACCCUAAAUUUUAAGAAUAUCCUCAAUGGCUAUUUUACUACAAAAGUAACAUAGCUCAUGCUUUAAAAAAUAUUAUAUAAGGCCAAGCACGGUGGCUCACGCCUGUAAUCCCAGCACUUUGGAAGGCCAACGCGGGUAGAUCAACUGAGGUCGGGAGUUCGAGACCAGCCUGGCCAACUGGUGAAACCCCAUCUCUACUAAAAAAAUACAAAAAAAUGGCCCUGCGCGGUGGCUCACACCUGUAAUCCCAGCACUUUGGGAGGCCGAGGCGGGCAGAUCACGAGGUCAGGAGAUCGAGACCAUCCUGGAUAAUAGGUGAAACCCCGUCUCUACUAAAAAUACAAAAAAAAAUUAACUGGGUGUGGUUGCGGGCGCCUAUAGUCCCAGCUACUAGGGAGGCUGAAGCAGGAGAAUGGCGCGAAUCCGGGAGGCAGAGCUUGCAGUGAGCCGAGAUCUGACCACUGCUCUCCAGCCUGGGCAACAGAGUGAGACUCCAUCUCAAAAAAAAACAAAAAAAACAAAAAAAUUAGCCAGCUAUGGUGGUAGGCGCAUGUAAUCCCAGUUACUUGGGAGGCUGAGGCAGGAGAAUUGCUUGAAACCAGGAGGCGGAGGUUACAGUGAGCUGAGAUUACGCCAUUGUACUCCAACCUGGGCAACAAGGGCAAAACUCUGUCUCAAC
rnacentral:lncRNA from 10 species